AUUGAACGCUGGCGGAAUGCUUUACACAUGCAAGUCGAACGGCAGCACGGACUUCGGUCUGGUGGCGAGUGGCGAACGGGUGAGUAAUACAUCGGAACGUACCCUGUUGUGGGGGAUAACUAGUCGAAAGAUUAGCUAAUACCGCAUACGACCUGAGGGUGAAAGUGGGGGACCGCAAGGCCUCACGCAGCAGGAGCGGCCGAUGUCUGAUUAGCUAGUUGGUGGGGUAAAGGCCCACCAAGGCGACGAUCAGUAGCUGGUCUGAGAGGACGAUCAGCCACACUGGGACUGAGACACGGCCCAGACUCCUACGGGAGGCAGCAGUGGGGAAUUUUGGACAAUGGGGGCAACCCUGAUCCAGCAAUGCCGCGUGUGUGAAGAAGGCCUUCGGGUUGUAAAGCACUUUUGUCCGGAAAGAAAUCGCGCUGGUUAAUACCUGGCGUGGAUGACGGUACCGGAAGAAUAAGCACCGGCUAACUACGUGCCAGCAGCCGCCGUAA
rnacentral:rRNA from 1 species